GUGAAUCAUCAAAUUUUUGAACGCAUAUUGCACUCUCUGGUAAUCCGGUGAGUAUGCCUGUUUGAGGGUCAGAUAAAUAAAAAUCGGUGUUUUUGCCCCCUUUGGUGGUGACGCUUCGGGAUUAGGUCGUCUUUAUCUUUCGGUUAAGUUACAUAAAAUUUUUGAAUGAUAUCUGAACGUAUUUAAAUUUAUUUUGUACGUGUUUGUGAUAUCGAAUGUUUAUUAGGUGUGGUUCAUCUCAUGUCUUAUGUUUAUAAUUUUUAUUCUAAUGAC
rnacentral:misc_RNA from 1 species